rnacentral:SRP_RNA from 1 species
GGGUGCUCUCGCAACACUACCCUGUGAACUCGGUCAGGUCCGGAAGGAAGCAGCCGCAGCAGGCGACGUGUGUGCCGGGAUGUCGCUGGCGGGG